AUGCGGCCCUGCUCCCGCGUGCUCGCCGCGAGGCACCUCCUGCGGGGCUCCCGCUUCCAGCUCCCCGCGGCGCUCCGGCGGCCCGGCGGGACCAACGGCCCGCCCGCGCCGACGCCUCACCUCGGGGGCUUCGGACCAGGCUGCAGGGUCUCUCCGGGGACGGGGGGACGCGCCCCCUUGGGCCCCCUCCACUGCCUGCUCCCGGGCUCGGCCUUCCCGCCGCGGUGGUGCGCGUGGCCUCUCUGCGACCUGAGAGGGAAUGCAUUCUCCACUUCUGCCAGUGCUGUGACAGCUGGGAAACCGGCUGAUGACAACGAGCAUAAAGAUGCCCCGAAGAAGGACAUCGAUGAUCAGAUAGCAGAUAUUCAGAUCCUUCAUAACCUUUGGAAGUACUUGAGGCUGAACAAUAGCCGCGAUUUCAACAUCAGGAUUGUGUUGUCCUUGGGUCUCUUAGUCGGCGCAAAGGUCAUAAAUGUUCAAGUGCCUUUCUUGUUUAAGCUUGCUAUCGAUUGGCUUGCAGCACUUGGCGGCGCUGAAGCCUCACUGGCAGGAUUUACAGAUGCUAAUGCAACCCUGUUGGCUCUCUUUGCAAGCCCAGCAGCAGUUCUGAUUGGAUAUGGUAUUGCACGGUCAGGAGUAUCAGCUUGUACAGAACUGCGGAAUGCUUUAUUUUCGAAAGUUACCUGGAGAGCCAUCCGUUCACUCUCCAGGAUGGUGUUUUCUCACUUGCAUGAGCUUGAUCUUCGUUAUCAUCUAAGCCGGCAAACUGGAGCUCUAAAUCGCAUAAUUGACAGAGGGAGCAACGCAAUAAAUUUCAUUCUUACGGUGACAGUGUUCAAUAUUGUUCCCACAAUACUAGAGAUUGGUAUGGUGUCAAGUAUACUUGCCUACAAGUUCGGCUCCACUUUUGCUUGGAUUACUUCAGUUUCAGUUGCUACUUAUAUUGUUUUCACUUUGGCUUUGACACAGUGGCGGACCAAGUUCAGGACAGCCAUGAAUAAAGCUGAUAAUGCUUCUGGUGCGGUGGCAGUUGACUCCCUUCUGAAUUACGAGACUGUCAAAUACUUCAACAAUGAGCAAUUUGAAGUUCAGAAGUAUGACAAAUAUUUAAAGAGAUACGAGGAUUCUGCACUGAAAGCCCAAAGUAGCCUUGCCUACUUGAACUUUGGGCAAAAUGUUAUAUUUAGUGUGUCAUUAUCCACAGCAAUGGUUUUGAGCUCAUAUGGUGUAAUGAGUGGUGCUCUGACUGUCGGUGAUUUGGUAAUGGUUAAUGGACUUCUAUUCCAGCUCUCAGUGCCUCUGAACUUCCUUGGUAGUGUUUAUCGAGAAUCUAGACAAAGCCUUAUUGACAUGAAGUCCAUGUUUCAAUUGCUUGAGGAAAAACCUGGAAUAAAGGAUGAGCUUCAUGCACAACCUUUGCAGUUCAAGGGAGGAUGCAUUGAAUUCGAGAAUGUCCAUUUCGGGUAUGCCCCAGAAAGGACGAUUCUUAAUGGGGCCACUUUCACUGUACCAGCAGGAAAAAGUGUGGCAAUUGUUGGAACUAGUGGCAGCGGAAAGUCAACCAUACUUAAACUUCUCUUUAGAUUUUUUGAUUCAACUUCAGGAUCUAUACGAAUAGACGGGCAAGAUAUCCGGGGAGUCACACUGGACAGUCUUCGGAAGUCGCUUGGUGUUGUGCCACAGGAUACGGUACUUUUCAAUGACACAAUUAAGCAUAAUAUACAAUAUGGGCGGUUAUCAGCAAAUGAUGAAGAGGUUUACGAUGCUGCUCGACGUGCCUCUAUCCAUGAUACAAUUAUGAACUUUCCUGACAAGUAUGACACGGUUGUGGGAGAGCGUGGAUUGAAGUUAAGUGGUGGUGAGAAACAACGAGUCUCAAUUGCUCGUGUAUUCUUGAAGGAGCCCUCCAUUCUGUUAUGUGAUGAAGCUACAAGCGCACUGGAUAGCACUACUGAAUCGUCGAUUCUGAAUUCUCUAAUGUCUUUAUCCGUCGAUCGAACCUCGGUAUUUAUUGCUCAUCGACUCACAACUGCAAUGCUAUGUGAUGAGAUCAUCGUCUUGGAGAAUGGAACAGUAGUGGAACAAGGGCCACAUGAUCUUCUUCUGUCGAAGCACGGGCGUUAUGCCGAACUUUGGUCCCAGCAGAAUACCACUGAAGGCAGUUGA
rnacentral:rRNA from 1 species